CGAGGUCAGCGCGGGGUGUAGCGCAGCUUGGUAGCGCAUCCGCUUUGGGAGCGGAAGGCCGCAGGUUCAAAUCCUGU
rnacentral:tRNA from 1 species